UACGAAGGGUGCAAGCGUUACUCGGAAUUACUGGGCGUAAAGAGCGCGCAGGCGGUCGUUCAAGUCGCGUGUGAAAGCCCCCCGGCUCAACUGGGGAGGGUCACGCGAUACUGAUCGACUCGAAGGCAGGAGAGGGUAGUGGAAUUCCCGGUGUAGUGGUGAAAUGCGUAGAUAUCGGGAGGAACACCAGUGGCGAAGGCGACUACCUGGCCUGUUUCUUGACGCUGAGGCGCGAAAGCUAGGGGAGCAAACGGG
rnacentral:rRNA from 1 species